rnacentral:ncRNA from 2 species
AGAGUUAAACAGUACGUGAAAUUGUUGAAAGGGAAACGAUUGAAGCCAGUCAUGCCGGUGGGAAAUCAGCCUUCGGGGGUAACCAGGGGGUGCACUUUCUCGCAGGGCAGGUCAGCGUCAGUUUCGCCAGUCGUAAAAAGUCCGUCGGAAUGUGACUCCUUUCGGAGUGUUAUAGCCAGCGGUCAAUGCGACGAGCGGGAUUGAGGAUUGCAGCGGGUGCCUUUCGAGGCUAAGUGCCUGGCCCUUGUUCGUGGUCGUCUUGGUAACAGCGUGCUGGUGCCGAGCCCGAUCCGUGGACAUGGGGUUUAGCGUCACGGUAAACUCGUUAAGGAUGCUGACGUAAUGGCUUUAAACGACC